AGGCAGGGCCUGUUUAAGCCCAUUGCAGCACUUCUUGUGUGAUUAAUAAAUUGUAUUGUAUUGUAUCCGUACCCUCACUUAUGGUUGUGAGCUUUGGGUAAUGGAAGGAUGAGAUCACAGGCAUGAGUGGCUGAAAUGAGCUUCCUCUACAGUGCAGAUGGGCUCUCUUUGAGAGAUGCGGUGAGAAGGUAAUUCAGACUGUUCAUCAUUACUUUAAUGUCCAAUAUGCAAAUCCAAAAGAGUCCUACUUUGUUGAAUGUUUGUCCUUGAGCUUUAUUAAUCGCCAUUGCAAAGGUUGGCCAAAUGGGAAACUGCCUUCUUUUAAUUUUAAAAAGGAACUGUUUGGUCCUCAGUAGGCAGACCCAUGCAAGGAAAAUAAAUAUCUUCUCACCAAUGAAACUUCCGUGAUGACCUCAACUUCAGUUAGGUUUUAAUGGAGAUCUGUUACCAUACAUCUGGUGCCACUGACUAAUCCUUCAUUGCUGUUAAGGUUUCUAAGAAGUGUGACAGCUGGUCUUUUUUUAAUUGUAAGCUUGUAAGUUGGCAGUCCUGAAGGUGCCAAAUAGAUAAUGAAUUCAAUGGGGUUCUUAAUGGAGAUGACGGUUUCAGUGCCAGAACCAAAGAAAAAAAAAAAAUGCUAACAUCCACUUAACUACAGAAUAACAUCGAUGACAUCACUAAGCCGCCGUGAUGACAUCACUAGCGGCUCCUAAUAAUGAUGUCACUACCAGCUCUACCGUGAUGAUGCCACUUCCAAACCCCUAAAGGUGAUGUCACUUCCAGCCCCUCUGUAAUGACGUCACUUCCAGUUCCUGGGGAUGAUAUCAAUCUGGUUCCGCCCUGAAGACAUCAUUUCCGCCUGUCGACUGUGUUGUCACUUCCUGUAUUAAAUCAUUUCCCACCACCAUCUUUUUCUAUAAAAACCUCAUGUAAACAAA